GAUGAACGCUGGCGGCGUGCCUAAUACAUGCAAGUCGAGCGAACAGACGAGUAGCUUGCUCCUCUGACGUUAGCGGCGGACGGGUGAGUAACACGUGGAUAACCUACCUAUAAGACUGGGAUAACUUCGGGAAACCGGAGCUAAUACCGGAUAAUAUAUUGAACCGCAUGGUUCAAUAGUGAAAGACGGUUUUGCUGUCACUUAUAGAUUGAUCCGCGCUGCAUUAGCUAGUUGGUAAGGUAACGGCUUACCAAGGCAACGAUGCGUAGCCGACCUGAGAGGGUGAUCGGCCACACUGGAACUGAGACACGGUCCAGACUCCUACGGGAGGCAGCAGUAGGGAAUCUUCCGCAAUGGGCGAAAGCCUGACGGAGCAACGCCGCGUGAGUGAUGAAGGUCUUCGGAUCGUAAAACUCUGUUAUUAGGGAAGAACAAAUGUGUAAGUAACUGUGCACGUCUUGACGGUACCUAAUCAGAAAGCCACGGCUAACUACGUG
rnacentral:rRNA from 1 species